UACGUAGGUGGCAAGCGUUGUCCGGAUUUACUGGGCGUAAAGGGCGUGUAGGCGGUUUGUUAAGUGCAGGGUGAAAGCUCCCGGCUCAACUGGGAGAGGUCCUUGCAUACUGGCAGACUUGAGGGAGGCAGAGGAAAGUGGAAUUCCCGGUGUAGUGGUGAUAUGCGUAGAUAUCGGGAGGAACACCUGUGGCGAAGGCGGCUUUCUGGACCGUAACUGACGCUGAGACACGAAAGCGUGGGUAGCAAACAGG
rnacentral:rRNA from 1 species